rnacentral:lncRNA from 1 species
GACCGCCUUCAAAUCAACAAAGCAUCAAUUAGAUUUAAUCAUCUCCAAAUCGAUCAAAUAUCGAUUAGAUCUACCUCCAGACCAGUUAGACGCCACUAGAUCUAGACUAACUAUUUGUAGAUCGACUGACACUGAUCAAAUUGGACUGCCUCCAAAUUGAUAAAGCGUCAAAUGAAUUCGAUCAUCUCCAGAUCAGCCAGAUGUUGAUCAGAUCUGACC